UAAUAACAUGUCACAGAUAAUAAUUACAACGGAUAAAAAUAAUGUUACAAUUUUCAAACAAAAUCAAUUUAAAACAAGAAAAAUGGAAUGUACAAGUACGUCCAAAACAUAUUUAGUUGUGCCAUUUUGACAAACAGGUGGUAGGCAGACGAACAGGUAUCAAUUAUCAUGUUCACUACAUACGAACGCAACUCGAAGCCACGUUUGAAUACUAUAAUCAUAAAUCAUAACCCAUUAAGUAAAACACAGUAGAAGAAUAAUGCAAAACAGAUCAGAAAAGCUUACCCCCACUACUAUGGAGGAAGAACAGGCUCUCCAGAAACGAAAAUUUUAUUGGGGAAAUACACCAGAUGAAGAAGAAUACCACAAACU
rnacentral:lncRNA from 1 species